ACCUGUUGGGAUGAAUACUAAAAGGUGGCUGUUCGCUGUCUAGUCAAGGUGGAGGCCCCUUCCCAUAGGAUUGUCACGCGGAAUAAAGACAACGCAUGCUGAGGACCUGGCGCAGAGCAGACCCUUAGUAACAGGAGCUAAUACUGGGAUACAAACAGCCCCAGGUCCCCAAACCAUCCAAAGAGCCCUCCCUGUUUCCUCUUCCGUUUCAAGACCAUUGGGGGAAACGGUCUUGCCCUUCCUCUGCCGUAGCCUUCCUCAGUAGAACACACCACCUGGGGGCUGCUGUGUCUUGUUUGCUUUUAAAUUUUCAAUAACUUG
rnacentral:lncRNA from 10 species